rnacentral:rRNA from 1 species
CCUACGGGAGGCUGCAGUGGGGAAUUUUGGACAAUGGGGGCAACCCUGAUCCAGCCAUGCCGCGUGAGUGAAGAAGGCCUUCGGGUUGUAAAGCUCUUUCGGCCGGGAAGAAAUCGCUCAAGCUAAUACCUUGGGUGGAUGACGGUACCGGAAGAAGAAGCACCGGCUAACUACGUGCCAGCAGCCGCGGUAAUACGUAGGGUGUUAGUGGUAAUCGGAAUUACUGGGCGGAAAGCAUAAGCCAGCGGCGAAAUCCCCGGGCUUAACCUGGGAACUGCGUUUGUGACUGUGGUGCUCGAGUGCGGCAGAGGGGAGUGGAAUUCCACGUGUAGCAGUGAAAUGCGUAGAGAUGUGGAGGAACACCGAUGGCGAAGGCAGCCCCCUGGGUCGACACUGACGCUCAGGCACGAAAGCGUGGGGAGCAAACAGGAUUAGAUACCCCAGUAGUC